rnacentral:lncRNA from 1 species
AUUUUGCAAUUUCUCAUGCCAAUAAAAAAGAAUGCUUCAAUUUUACAAGAAGUAUUCAGGUUUUGAUAAUCAUUUUUUUUAAAAAAAAACCCAAACUCAGAAUGUCUAAGUGUGUGACAGGAAUAUUUAAUAUUUUAUAUUCUCAAGUCAUCACCCCAAGUAUGCCAUCUAAUCCAUAUCUGUAGGGAAAUCUAUUUUUAAAGUAAGUGAUACCUUGGAGGAAAAAUAGAUACAUCAUGAUUACAGUUUUCAUCACACCAUAAUCUUUUAUUUUAGAAUUAAGGAGAAGUAUCCUCAAACAUUUGAUGACAUAUGCCUUUACUCUGAGGUUUCCCAUUUGCUGUCACACUGCACAUUCAGACUUCCGUGUCGGAGGUUCAUACAAGAAUUAUUUCAAGAUGUACAGUUUCUACAAAUGCAUGAAGAAGCAGAGGCUGUGUUGGCAACACCACCAAAGCAACCUAUAGUUGAUACAUCUGCUGAAUCCUGACCUCAUAUUUAUGAUGGAUAUAGAUACAUACUAUAUAUAUUCAUAUUUGUGGAUUUCCUAAAAGCCUCAGAAAAUACGAC